AUUGAACGCUGGCGGCAUGCUUUACACAUGCAAGUCGAACGGUAACAGGCCGCAAGGUGCUGACGAGUGGCGAACGGGUGAGUAAUGCAUCGGAACGUGCCCAGUCGUGGGGGAUAACGCAGCGAAAGCUGUGCUAAUACCGCAUACGAUCUAUGGAUGAAAGCGGGGGACCGUAAGGCCUCGCGCGAUUGGAGCGGCCGAUGUCAGAUUAGGUAGUUGGUGGGGUAAAGGCUCACCAAGCCAACGAUCUGUAGCUGGUCUGAGAGGACGACCAGCCACACUGGGACUGAGCAACGGCCAGACUCCUACGGGAGGCGGCAGUGGGGAAUUUUGGACAAUGGGCGCAAGCCUGAUCCAGCAAUGCCGCGUGCAGGAAGAAGGCCUUCGGGUUGUAAACUGCUUUUGUACGGAACGAAACGGUCUGGGUUAAUACCCUGGGCUAAUGACGGUACCGUAAGAAUAAGCACCGGCUAACUACGUGCCAGCCGCCGCAGUAAAAC
rnacentral:rRNA from 1 species